rnacentral:rRNA from 1 species
UACGUAGGGUGCAAGCGUUGUCCGGAAUUAUUGGGCGUAAAGAGCUCGUAGGCGGUUUGUCGCGUCUGCUGUGAAAACCCGAGACUCAACCUCGGGCCUGCAGUGGGUACGGGCAGACUAGAGUGCGGUAGGGGAGAUUGGAAUCCUGGUGUAGCGGUGGAAUGCGCAGAUAUCAGGAGGAACACCAAUGGCGAAGGCAGAUCUCUGGGCCGUAACUGACGCUGAGGAGCGAAAGCAUGGGGAGCGAACAGG